GUGUGUGACUCGUGCCUUCCCCAUCCCACUCAGGAAGGGGCUGGUGCUGCUUCUGGUUCACUUCUUUGCCUAGCUCUACAAUGGUAGAUGGAGUUAUGAUCCUUCCUGUGCUGAUCAUGAUGGUGUUUCCCUCCCCGAGUUGGCAAGAUGAUGAACUGAAGCUAAAUAUGGUCCACUACGAAUGUGUGUGUGAAGGCAUGUCCUGUGGGAAUGGAGAUCGUUGCCAAGGCCAGCAAUGUUUUGCUUCCCUGAGCAUUAAUGAUGGUGCUAAGGUUUACCAGAAAGGCUGCUUCCAAGUCUAUGAACAAGGGAAAAUGACAUGCAAAACACCUCCAUCUCCUGACCAAGCUGUUGAGUGCUGCCAAGGAUACUUGUGCAACAUGAAUAUCACAGCACAGUUGCCUUCUUCUAAGGGGCAAACCUUUCAAGGAGAAGCUGCAGGUUACAGCAUGGAAACACUAAUCAUUGUUAUACUGGCUCCUGUGAUAGUGUUGAUAGUUUUUUCUGCAGUAGCUGUGCUGAUCAUCCGGAGAAUACAGAAAAACCAUAUGGAGAGGCUCAAUUCUAGAGAUGCAGAAUAUGGCACAAUUGAGGGACUCAUUGCAUCAAACGUUGGAGACAGCACGUUAGCAGAUUUAUUGGACCAUUCCUGCACAUCUGGAAGUGGUUCUGGACUUCCUUUCUUGGUGCAAAGAACGGUGGCUCGCCAGAUCACACUUGUAGAGUGUGUAGGAAAGGGCCGUUAUGGAGAAGUUUGGAGGGGUCAGUGGCAAGGAGAAAAUGUUGCUGUGAAGAUCUUCUCUUCUAGGGAUGAAAAAUCCUGGUUCAGGGAAACUGAAUUGUACAACACUGUAUUGCUGCGGCACGAAAAUAUUUUAGGUUUUAUUGCAUCUGAUAUGACUUCCAGAAACUCUAGUACCCAGUUGUGGUUAAUUACCCACUACCAUGAAAUGGGGUCUCUGUAUGACUAUCUACAGCUCACUACCCUGGACACUGUCAGCUGCCUACGCAUAGUACUGUCCAUAGCUAGUGGUCUUGCACAUUUGCACAUAGAGAUAUUUGGAACCCAGGGGAAGCCUGCCAUUUCUCAUCGGGACUUGAAGAGCAAAAAUAUCCUCGUUAAGAAAAAUGGACAGUGCUGCAUAGCGGAUUUAGGCCUUGCAGUUAUGCACUCCCAAAGCACGAAUCAAUUGGAUGUGGGGAACAAUCCCCGUGUGGGUACCAAACGCUACAUGGCUCCAGAAGUCUUGGACGAAACUAUCCAGGCAGACUGCUUUGACUCAUACAAAAGGGUCGAUAUCUGGGCUUUUGGGCUGGUCCUUUGGGAAGUAGCUAGACGCAUGGUUAGCAACGGUAUUGUGGAAGACUAUAAACCACCAUUUUAUGACUUGGUUCCAAACGAUCCCAGUUUUGAAGACAUGAGAAAAGUGGUCUGUGUAGAUCAGCAAAGGCCGAACAUUCCCAACAGAUGGUUCUCAGACCCUACAUUAACAUCUCUUGCCAAGUUGAUGAAAGAAUGCUGGUAUCAAAAUCCAUCAGCGAGACUAACAGCCCUGCGAAUCAAAAAGACUUUGACCAAAAUUGAUAAUUCCUUAGAUAAACUGAAAGCUGACUGUUGACCUUCUUCUUGUGGUGCUCUCCUGAUAGGAAGGCAUUUGUCUGCUUCAGAAGUAGUCUGGCCAGACAGUUUAUACGAUUGGUCCCCAUGUGGCUACUUAUAGAGGCAGAAGUUCUUACCAAGCCAUCUGUGUGGGAGACAUCGGAACCAUAUGGACUUUGCUCAGUGACUACAAUGGGCAUUUCACAAAUGGUCAAGCUAUAAGGACUCACGCUGGAUGUACUGUUGCAAAGUUUAAGGAAAAAAACCACCACAGUUCUAGUGCCUGAACCAAGAAACCGUGCCAAGACACAAGCCGAAGCAUGCCAGGAAAAGCAAAGCACAGCUGUACAUGGUUGACGUCAGUCUCGGCCUGUCACGGUAGAAGAGAGACUGCAAGAGGGACUUCUGGUACUUGUGGAGGCGAAGCUGGGACCUUCUAUGUGGAAAGUGCGGUUUCUCACUGGCAUGUAGAAGGAGCCAGCACACUCUGACCUGAUGAACUGUGGUGAGGCAGUACUUUAGGAAGGGGAGGAUGAGGCAAAGAGUGCACUGGUUACAGUGCUGCGCUGCUUUCAGGUCAGUUCCUAAAUUAAUGCUGCACUUUAUGGUUGCUUCUUUCUGCUGAUUUAAAGAUAUCAGAGUGCCUUAGUGGAGUAAGGCUGCAAUUUUCAUCUCUUGUCAGUGUAGAAGUGACAAAUCAAGAUCUAACCCUGGGAGUUAAUUGACGUUUCUACCUGGUUUCCACGUUUUUCUGAUCGCUUAACUGCAGCGAGAGCUUUUAAACGUGCUGUGAUAACUCACCGGGGCAUGGGACCUCCGCUGGUUGGGCUUGCUGUGCCAAGUGCCUUCGGUCUGGGUGUUUGUCUACACAACCCAGGGAGAUUCAUUGCCAUUGUCAGAAAUGGGGCGCGUGUUGCAGGUGUUCUCAAUGGCAACGAUUAUGCAGGUGGGGCUGCAGCACUGGGAAGUCUUGUUGAGCGCUCUGCUUGUUCAUCCCACAGUGGCCAGCCCGCGUGGGCUUGCCAGGUGUUGGGCUACUGACUUAAAUAAGCUGGGGUGAUGUCCCGGAGGGCUGAGCUCCCGCCGGGCCCUGGAGAGGCUGUGGGCUGAGCACCGGGGAGCUUUGCCGCUGCUGGAAGCACGAGGUCAGGGCUGGACCCCGGGCUCGGUCCCGUGCCGCCCUGGCCGCUCCUGGCCUCAGUGAAGUGCGCUGCUUGAAGCAUCGCCUGCUCCUUCCCCGCUCUGGCGUUUUCACUGGGAAACAGGCGUGUGGCAGCCGAGGGCUGUGACACUUGGGUGGAUUGAGUGCUGGGGUGGGUGGUCAGCCUCCAUCCUGCCCCGCUCCCCUCCGCAGCCCCUUCCUGGCCCAGUCCGUCCUUUCUCUGGGCUGGCCACAGGUGUGCUGGAGCCCCAUCUGCUCCUUGUUCCCAAACUCCCAACUCUGCGUCUGCUCCUCCCUCGCUUGUCCCGGGAGUUGUCCCCACGGAGGGAUGGACAACUUGUCCUUGAGGGCAGUGCCUCUGGCCGUGCCCACCUUCCUCUCAUCUCCGUGAACGCGAACUGCUCUUUUUUCCUUUCGGGACAGAGGAAAGCUGUGCACCAGCUGUGGAGAGCUGUGCCAGAAGGAAAUCAGACUUAGCUAGGCCAGGGAUUUUUUUGUUAAAGACUUGAAAACCUGCAGUCAGCUUGCUCUCUCGAUCUUAAAAGAUUGCGACACGUUUGACUGAAGCUUGAUGGCUGUUGGUAACUAGAUUUAAGGACUCUGUAUCAUACCAAUCUCUUCCCCCAUAGGUCUCUGCAGCAGUCUUUUCCAUUUUUCACGAUCAAAAAGCUCUGACCUCAAAUAUCAUAAAUAUUUCAGAUUCAUGGUGUAGAUCUAUUUUCAUUCUUGGAAUGUUCUCCUGGAAAACCUGGAGCCUUAAAAUGCAACACCUACCAAAGGUGGUGGGGGGGAUAGUGAACUGUUGGAUGCUAGCAAGGAAUUUUAUUCUAAAAACUUGCAAAAAUAGCUAUCAUAUUACAUUCUCUACUUCCCAUAAAGAGAACAUAUCUUUAACAUAGGUGCUGAAAAGGAGGAAAUGGUAAGGCCCAAAGAGCAGUUUAUAAGAAUAGCAGAACUGCUUGCAAAGAAAAGCUUACCAUAACUCAGUGUACAAAGAAGUUGCAAAAUAAGGAGGGAAAAAGAAUGCCUUUUGUCUACCCAUUUAACCUUGUUUGAUUAUUUACUGUAUGUGGAUCUUGCAAUCUUUAAUGCAUGGAGUUAAAAAUAGCUUAAUAUUUGUCAUACACUUGAGCUGUUCAAGAAACGUGGAACACAAGCAAUAGUGUUUUCUGACAGGAGUUCAAGCACUGAACGUAUGCUUUAGACAAUGUAAUGCCUAAACUGUAUAGCAAUCGAUCAAUACUGUGGCUAGAGUUCAAAUGAUUGUAUUUCAACUUACAUUGAAAACAAGCUGAAAACUGUGACAAAUUUACUCUGUCAAGUCUCUUGUAAUGAGAUUCUGUGU